GCCAGCAGCUAUAUCACCCUGCAACUCACAACUGGCAACCCACUGAAGCUAAGCGAGUGUGAGCCUGGUCAGUACCUGUAUAGGACUCUUCCUGGGAAAGCUAAGGUUGCUGCUGGAA
rnacentral:rRNA from 1 species